rnacentral:rRNA from 1 species
UACGGGGGGAGCAAGCGUUGUUCGGAUUUACUGGGCGUAAAGGGCGCGUAGGCGGCCUCCGCAAGUCAGUUGUGAAAUCUCCGAGCUUAACUCGGAAAGGUCAACUGAUACUGCGGGGCUAGAGUGCGGAAGGGGCAACUGGAAUUCUUGGUGUAGCGGUGAAAUGCGUAGAUAUCAAGAGGAACACCUGCGGCGAAGGCGGGUUGCUGGGCCGACACUGACGCUGAGGCGCGAAAGCUGGGGGAGCGAACGGG